rnacentral:lncRNA from 1 species
UAGAGAGCCGAAGUGAGGGGUUCCAAAACCAAAGACUACGAAAGUAUCUGAAAUUACAAUGAAGUUAUGAAUGACGGUCGACAAAUGGAAAUAUAAAGGUCACACCCAGCAGGCAGGUUACAGUCUGGUCUUGAAAAAAGUAUUCAAUAUAUAUAAGUCCGGCGAAACAGACAUUCCAGUCAGACAUGCAAACCCCGGCCACAAAAUAAUACGCCCGUUUUUAUUCAUCAUGUUCAUUUCAUGCUAAAUAAUUUUGUUGGAAAUUUUCGUUUUUAAUAGCAAAAACGUG